UAAGGCACGAUAAGGCCCCCUAGCUCGCGGCCUAUAAUGUGAGGCGCGGGAAGUGUGGGGGUAGUGUGGGGUGCGCGGCCUGGAUUUAUAGAGAGAAACUUUAUUUUGCCCAAAAUAAUACUAGCAUUUUAAACACACAUUAUGAAAACGUCAUAAUUUUGACGUUUUCAGACAACAGAGAGGAGUUAGUUUGCAAGAGGAGGCAUUAUCUUGAUGGUGGAGACAAACUGUCGAGCCCGGAGGAGAAAGGGAAGGGGAAAAGGAAGAAACUGAAGAAUGGUCGCUAUUCUGACGACGACGACGACGACGACAACGACGACGUAGUAUCGCUGGUAGGUAACUAAAGUUUUAUUACAGAAAUGUCAUCUAUAGGCCUUGUGGAUGAGUUAAAUUAAAAUCGUUGAAAAACUAAACUUCAUUAUGAUUUAAAGGAUCCUCAGUUAAGUCAAUGUAAGAAGAAGAAGAAGAGAAAAAACACAGGUCUUAACGUCUUAAUGGAACUGGAAAAGCAAGGAUCAUGUCAGCUGAACUCAAUUAAUGAAACCAGGAAUGAAUGCCAUCACCCAUCUUGUGAGCUGUUGAGGGAGAACAACCACAGGCUGCAGAGGGAAAAUGAUUCUCUCAAGGCAAAAAUAGCAACAUUGAAAUUGCUGCCAGACGUUUUGCAGAAGAUGGAGGAGUUUCUCCGCUCAGCACCAAGACCAACGACAACACCAAUACCAGCACCAAGACCAACACCAACACCAAGACCAGAACCAACACUAUCACCAGCACCAACAGCAGUUCCACCACCAGCAACAGAAGACCCAUCACCAGCUCCAGGUCCAUCAUCAGCAUCAGCAACAGAGGCCCUGGGCCACUCUGUCAUUCCAAAAGG